UGGGGAAUCUUAGACAAUGGGCGCAAGCCUGAUCUAGCCAUGCCGCGUGAGUGAUGAAGGCCCUAGGGUUGUAAAGCUCUUUCAGCUGGGAAGAUAAUGACGGUACCAGCAGAAGAAGCCCCGGCUAACUCCGUGCCAGCAGCCGCGGUAAUACGGAGGGGGCUAGCGUUGUUCGGAAUUACUGGGCGUAAAGCGCGCGUAGGCGGACUGAAAAGUUGGGGGUGAAAUCCCGGGGCUCAACCUCGGAACUGCCUUCAAAACUAUCAGUCUGGAGUUCGAGAGAGGUGAGUGGAAUUCCGAGUGUAGAGGUGAAAUUCGUAGAUAUUCGGAGGAACACCAGUGGCGAAGGCGGCUCACUGGCUCGAUACUGACGCUGAGGUGCGAAAGCGUGGGGAGCAAACAGG
rnacentral:rRNA from 1 species